GAAUCGAAGAAUAUAUUGAACCGCUCAAGUUGUAUUUGCAGAUGACCAGAUUUACCACGAGUACAGGGAGCAGACGGAGGGUGACAGUAAGAUUCGCUCUGCAGAUCAGGCUGGAAGAAAAGACGCUGUUCCAGUCCGUGGAGACUAGGUACUCAGUUCAUGGUGCAGCGUUCUAUUGGUCCAGAUGCAGGGAAGUUACUUCUUUUUGUUGAUGCUAUGAUUGGAUUGACAGAAUGUUCAUACUCAUUGGUUCUUUUUUUUGGUGUUUAUGUUGCCAUAAACUAAAUUCUAGUAAAUGCUAUUUAUUAAACUGCAUCGGUUGAUGUAGAUUUGUUUCA